AAUACCUGCCCAUCAUUUGCUUGCUAUCUCCUUUCCACGGGCUUUUAUUCAUCUCUGUACUGCCCUCCAAUAUACCUUUCCAGCUAAAGACACAGUCAAGUGGACAGGGUUUGGUUUUGUUUUUCUUUUCACCCAACGCUUUUGUAUAUUUCUGAAACUUAAGCCACCGCAUAUACUACUACAGUACUUAUCUGUAACACCAUCGCUUUGAGGGAUUAAAGUAGGUUACUUGUUACACACUUAGAUCAAGCGUUAUCUGAGUAGAGAGUCUACUCCGUUAGGGAUGGCGGAAUCUGUUUUUGAUCUUGAGUUGUUUUGAUUUUCUUUGAGAGCGGUAACAUGUUAUUUUAACUUCUGAAUAAGGUGUGCUACCUGACUGAGUCUCUUCUCUUCUUUGGCAGAAAGGAUUAGAAACCUCCACCGAACUUGCAGUCUAUUAAAGCUGAGUGCUCUCCAUUGAGCAGCAAGGAACUGAAUUGUUUUCAGAUUACAUGUGUGUGUGUGUCUUUCCCACAUCAAAGACUUCGAUGGAAGCUGUUCACACUAUUGUCAGGAAUGCAGGGAUUGGCACAAAGAAACAAGAAUUGGGAAGGAAAACGCCAACAUCCCGAAGUCUCAAGUCAAAACCUCUCCAUCUGAUAAGGUCUGUCAGCUGCAAGCAAACUGAUUCACUGUCUAUCUUUCUCCAGGAUGUGUGGACUACCCUGUGCAUGUAAUCCUCAAUGAGAGUCACCCGGGUGCACAGAUAAGAGAUCCCAAAGAAGGCUGCUUGGGUUGGAAGUGAGUUGCCACAUCACAUUUUCUUCACAACCUCUCCCAGCACUCAGAGAAGUUUCUGCCACCCAAAGACCACACUAACCUAUGAUCAAUUGACUUACGAGGAAAGAUGGAAAGACCCAAACAUGGACGCUGGCAAGUGCUGAUUCUGGUGGGGAGAGAGCAGGACCGCUCAUUCUAAGUGGAAUGUGCUCUACCAAAGACCCUUAUGGUCAGACCUUUCCCCUCCCAGCCCAAGUAAGCUGCAACAGCAGGUAAGGAAUCUUUCGGCUGCUUAUCUGAUUCCAACUAGAACCCAGUGAAGUCGUGGUUUGACCAUUGCUAGCUCUGUCACCUUCCCUGAUUGCCUGUGUUUGCUCACCUGUCAUCAGAACGGGAGACUUCUGGGAUCCUUUCACAUCAACCAUUACCAUGGCACAUGCAAAAGAAAUGCAGUGGUGCCAAAUAUCGCAAUUUCAUUGCGAGUUCAAUGAUAGCUGGUGUUUUUCUGAAAACUCCAGCUCCUGGAGUCAUGUGAUUAGCUGAAAAUCCCAGGUGGUUUUUUUUUUUUAGUAAGUUUCUCACCUUCAUAGUUGCUGAGAAAAGCUUAUAAAUGUGAAAACUGAAGAGUUAAAAAACAGAAAUCAAAUCAAAUAAUCCCAGGAUUUAUUACAGUAUUUCUAAAAUCUCAUGAUU